AAUAUGUGACCUCAUUCCUUAAAUACCAUCACUUGAACAGCUCUUGUUGCUAAAAUAAAAGCAGUGUUGAUUCUCUGUUGUGAAAACUCCUACAGACCCUCUGACAAGCGCAAACUAAACCACACCUUCUUUUACUAUGAUAAAAAUGAUUGCUUAUUUGUAGCAAUUACAGUGUACCUGUAGCGGCAAUUACAGUGAAGGUAUCGCUUGCAGUUUUUAUCACAUUCACUUUAUGUUAACGUAUGACUGUCACAGAAAGCUCUGGCACAUGGAAUAAGACUAGGAAACAGACCUCAAGAAAAAUGAUCCCAGAAAGAUCUGUCUUUCAAAUCCAAGCAAAUCCAAAACAUCUGCAAGAGAAAUCAACUAACCAAUAAUGGUCCAAUGAAGCUAGUGGCCCUUAUGUUCCUUGGGAGUGUAAAGUAUUAUGGCCAAACUGAAAGUGACUGAACGAAUGCUGGAGCUCUAACCCCAGUUUCAUGCUAGAGACUCCUCCUUCUGCAGUAUGAAAUGUAGCUGCCCCCUCACCGCCUCCAUGCAUUCGGGUACGCUAAACAGAGCCCACUCGGGAACUCCUCCUGAUGCCAGGGUGUCAGUCAUUCUGCCUGACAGGAUGGCUCACCUGAAUAUCCAUCUUUGCGUACACUGCAUCCUACACAGGAGAAGGGAAGUAAGAGGAGGGUUGUUGUUCCUCUUCCUCACUCAACUUGCAGUUUGCUUGCUUUGAACAUUUCCAUGAACUAAUAAUCCCUUUAUACAGGCACAUGACGGAGAAUAAAUCAUCUGUGGGUUAAAAAUCCAUACUAACAUUGGAAUGGUAUUAAAUAUAGAAUUAUAAGUCCUUUUGGUCUUAUUGUGGUAGCUGUGUGGGUGGAAAUUGCAUCCAAAUAGACGCCAUUUUAGUUAAGUGUUACCCUAAGGGCUUUGGCCAGCUUUCCAUCUCUGAGCAGAAGGCAAGAGACCACACCAGAGCCCAACGCAGAGGUAUGUGCCAAUUUUUGCUUCGUGAACAAGCUGCCAUUUUUCCCCGCACAAGUUGCGUAAUUCAAAUUCACAUUUUGAAGGGAUGGUUAGAUCUGCUCAGAUGGCUGACCUAAACUAACAGGAGCGGUUAAACAAGUUUGCCUCUUCUGAAAACGUCUCCUCCUCUCUGUUUGUUGUUGUUUU